UUCCACCAGUUAAUAGUAUUUCUUUUAUUUGAGUGUGUCCUCCUUCAUUAGCUAUCUCUACUGCACUCUUUCCUCUCUCAUCUUUACUGUUAGGAUCAGCUCUUAACUGCAGUAGCAUUGAUACUUCAAAACUAUCACCAGCUUUAACUGAUUCAUGAAGUGAAGUGUUGAAAUCAUUAUCAUUUUCUCUUCUGAUAGGAAUUGCAUCCUUGUCAACAGCAACUUUCAAUAUUCCUAAUCUACUCAUUGAUUCUUUAUUGUUAUUGAUAGCAUCAAUAAGAGACUGUGAUAGUGAGUGAAAAUAUCUGUCACAAUAUGGCCAAAGUAGUAUUGAAGAACUCUUUUAAAGUUUGUUAGAGUCAUUUCUUCCCAUCUGUCAUUCAGUUUAAUAACGA